AGUGAACGCUGGCGGUAGGCCUAACACAUGCAAGUCGAACGGCAGCACAGUAAGAGCUUGCUCUUACGGGUGGCGAGUGGCGGACGGGUGAGGAAUACAUCGGAAUCUACUUUUUCGUGGGGGAUAACGUAGGGAAACUUACGCUAAUACCGCAUACGACCUACGGGUGAAAGCAUGGGAUCUUCGGACCUUGCGCGAUUGAAUGAGCCGAUGUCGGAUUAGCUAGUUGGCGGGGUAAAGGCCCACCAAGGCGACGAUCCGUAGCUGGUCUGAGAGGAUGAUCAGCCACACGGGAACUGAGACACGGUCCAGACUCCUACGGGAGGAAGCAGUGGGGAAUAUUGGACAAUGGGCGCAAGCCUGAUCCAGCCAUACCGCGUGGGUGAAGAAGGCCUUCGGGUUGUAAAGCCCUUUUGUUGGGAAAGAAAAGAAGCAGGUUAAUACCCCGCUGUUCUGACGGUACCCAAAGAAUAAGCACCGGCUAACUUCGUG
rnacentral:rRNA from 1 species